rnacentral:tRNA from 1 species
CUAAUAAGAGUUUGGGUUGAAUAACUAGCUGUUAAUUAGGAGGUGUAGAAUAAUUCUACUUAUUAGG